UGCCCACUGACCGCGUCCCUCAGUGCCUCAUCCCCACGGUUCUGGAAUAGCUCCAGGGACGACGACCCCCCACUCCCUGACCAGUCUGUGCCACUGCAUCACUGCUCUUUUGGAGGAGGAAUUUUCCCAAAUAUCCAACCUGACCCCCCCCCAGGCACAACAUGAGGCCAUUGCCUCUCAUCCUAUCAUCCAGGAUGCACAGCAUCUGUCUCUGUUUUUCUGGAACUUUUUAACAGAACUUUCACAGAAAAUAAUAUUGUGAAUAUUCUAAUUUAACCCCAAAGAUAAAAUGUUAUCAAUGUUAGUUUUAGACUUCUGAGCAGAACAGGAAAUCCACGUUCUGAGCUUUCCCACUGGUGGUAAAAUGGAGUAGACCCAAAGUGGAAGCCAAGAGCAAUGCAGGAUGCAGCCCCGGGAGCUGCGAGGCUGAGCGUUACAGGAGGGAGCGUGGAGGACUUCACCGCCGCUUUUGAGGGAUUGCAGCAGAGAAAGGCAGCCAAGGGUGCGUCGGUAAAUCCAGCAGUGCGAUCUCCUUUAGCUCAGCCCACACGUCGUCAAUGUCUUGCACUUGUUGGCUUUUGACUGCUGUUGGCUUUGCAGGUCUCCCCACAUCGUAAAUCAGCACCGCUUCCCUCCGUGGCCAUGUGCUGGGCACCGCUGGAAGGGGAACCAGGGCCACUCCUGGCUCUCAGUGUGCUGCAAAGCGCUUUGUUGGGUCGGAGCAAACUGCUGUUCUCAUAACGAGGGGAUCUCGCGUUCAUUCUGCUGGCAGAGCUGCGGGGGAUGAUAGCAGAGAAGUGCUGCCGCUGCUGUUGGAAUGAUCUGAGCUAAUCCGAGGGUGAGGGGACGGUUUAUUGAUUCAAAGUCCUGGCCAGACGUAGAUGGAGAUAAUUCUAGGAUGUGAGGGGUAUUAUUCCUACCAAAAAGCGGGCUUGUAAAUAGCUCUCAUUUAUUUAUUAGCCUCUGCAAAACAGUUGUGUGCUAGUGCAGCUGGAAGGUUAUGUAGAGAUGUGAGUAGCUGUGAUAGUGAAAAUAAGAGCUUUCUGGGUGGCAGUCAUCUGAUAUUUUUGCUGAAUCUGCUUGUUUCCUGCAGCAAAUAGCCACUAACACCGCAUUGAGCUCUCUUUCCUAAAGAUAAAAGACAAUGUGCUGAGUUUUCAGCUCUGCUUUAGUGUUCCGGUCAGGUUUCUUUUUGCUCUUCCUUGCAAGCUGGCUUCUGAGGGCUCCGGUUAACGUCCUUGAAAAUAACCUUGUGCUCAGGCUGACUGCUGUGUCAUCACAUCCGUCCCCGUGCAGGGAGUAUCCUGCCCAUACUGGCAGCUGAUGGGGGCUGUCCAGUCUGGCAGAGCCGAGUUACCACCAGCAGAUAACGUGUUGUGAAGGGCAGGCUCAGCCCCGAGGCUCUGCUGGGGGUCAGGGCUCAGAGUUCUGCCCCAUUAGUGCUCAGCCUAUCCUCUUGUUAAGGGCCAUUAGAAUCAUCGGCUCCUUAAGGUUGGAUGAGGCUGGUCACAUCGCCGGUAUGGUGGGUUGGGCCUGGAUGAUCUUCAAGGUUGGAACUGGGAUGAUCUUGGGGUUGGAACUCGAUGAUCUUUAAGGUCCAACCCAGGCUAUUCUGUGGUUCUACUUUCUGCCCUUCAGAGGUGCCAUCCUCUUGGAUGGACGGCUCCACGAAGUGCAGGGUGUUCAGCAUCUCUCAGACAGAGCAAAUAUUGUUGAUUUUUGGUCCUUUCAGUUUUUUCACUCUAUUGCUCCCCAUCUGGAAUCUUCCAUCAGCAGCUUUACUUUCAUGUGCUGUAUUGCAGUCAGGCUGGGAUGCACACUGCUCCUCUUAUUCCUCAAACAGGGAAAAUCCUACAGCCUCCAAAUCCCCAGGCUCCCAUAAAUAACCUAUACAGUCUCUUCCAACCCAAUCCAUUCUAUGAUUCUAUGCCAACGGGUUUCAGAUCUUUAAAGCAGUGCAUCCAUCUGGAAGGUGGCUGCAUGCCUGAGUCGAGGACAGCAGUGGCUGUAGGUGCUGCAUGUUUAUAGAGGCUGCACUGGCAGUUAAAUUGCCUCAGUACGGCCAACUUGCUGUCACCCAGCCUCAGUGUCUGGUGUUUGAUGGCCUCAUUAUACACAGGCUGUUGAUUCGGCUGCAGUUCUAUCCGGGGUUUUGUCAUUCAGCUGUAAUAGCAUGAAAGGAAGGGAUGUUUUCAUGCAUCUGCAGCCAGCGAGGACUUCAUGGAUACAGCAUGGUGCUGAUCUGCAGCCCUGCGGCUGCUGGUUGCCUUUGGAGGGCUGCAUUGAAGGAGAGCAUGGAAGGAGAGCAUGGAAGGAGAGCAUUUAGCUUCAGCUAAAUGAAGGAGGGCAUGAUCACGGAAUCAUAGAAAAGCUCACAGCAUCUCCUGGAGGAGCCUGACCUGGUGACGAAGCCCUACAACACACUGUCGCUGUUCUGCAGCAGUUUUGAUCCCACCGUCAUACAGCGUUGCAUGGACGUGACCAAGGGCAGCUCUGUGGGAGGAAGCCAGGAGGAGAAACCUAAAGGAUCCCGUGCUCCUUGCACAGCAGUGCUGGCUGCUUUGUUCACCACCAGAAAGAAGGGAAACAGGUCAGUUCAACACCCCCAAACCUGGCAUUAGCAGUCAGUGCCCCACGUGGAGCCAUCAGGAUCAUCUCCAAAUGACGUGGCACGUCAGUCCUGCUGGAGCUAUGGCCAGGGCUGACGUUUUCCAUUACCAGAAGGGAGGGUGGGGAAAAGUAUUUUUAACAUGUAUUUAUAGACCUCACCGUGAUGCAGUUUUUCCCAAACUUCGGGUGAAGAACAAUGGACAAAGAGCUUUGUGUUAGGGCUGCUGGUUAGGAACAACAGGAGCACGGCUCCUGUGGGGAAGGAAAAGGUGAGUAAUGGGGGCAGUGCUGCGUGUGGGGAGGCGUGGGGAGUGAAAUCUGUUGGGGGAGCACCAGUGCAAUGGGUGAGGAACCACUGCAGCACUGUGGGUGCCCCAUCCCUGGAGGUGUCCGAGGCCAUGGGGGGCACCCAGCCCACAGCAGGGAGUUGGAAUUGGAUGCGCUUUAAGGCCCCUUCCAACCCAACCAUGCCAUGAUUCUAUGAUAGAACACCAUAUAGAGCAGUGUGCAGGGGAAACCAGCCUCCUCCUGUCCUCAACUUAUUUGUCCCGAAGCUUGAAAGCUGAUUAAGAAUCACUUACUUACGCUGAUGGGUUUCAAAUGAUACUAGCAGGGCACACUGCUCUCCUCCAGCUGCCCAUUAAGGUUUCAAUUUACGGGCCUCGCACAGAGGCGGGUGAAGCUGUAGGGCCAGGGUGUGAGCUGCUGGAAUGACCUCUGUUAGCAGCCAGGCAGUUCAUUAAAUAGUAAAGAGCUGAACAAUUUCCAGCUAAAUAGCACACCGAGCGUCCCUUAUUUCAUUUCCUGUUUUUUAAAGGAAGUAUAAAUUAUUUACUAAUGUGCCUUAAGUCCUUUAAGUGAAUUCAGGCACUGAAGCAAUAUCUUGUUUAGUGGGGCAGAUGCCCAAAGGGAAGUGUCUGAGUGAUGGACCUGUUUGUGAACAAUUUAUCAGAGUUAAUGGGGGAAUUUAAUGAGGCCAGCUCUCCAAUCCGUCGGGCUGAUGGCUCAGGCUCCCAUACUUUGGGAACAAUUUGCAGAUGAAGCUCAGAGAGGUUGUGGUGCAGAACUUCCAACGUUGCUGAGUUGAAAUUGCAGGGGUGUUGGUCAUAGAAUGACAGAAUGGCCUGGGUUGCAAAGGCCCACAAUGCUCAUCCAGUUCCAACCCCCUGCUAUGUGCAGGGUCGCCAACCAGCAGCCCAGGCUGCCCAGAGCCACAUCCAGCCUGGCCUUGAAUGCCUGCAGGGAUGGGGCAUCCACAGCCUCCUUGGGCAACCUGUUCAGUGCGUCACCACCCUCUGGGGGAAAAACUUCCUCCUCAUAUCCAACCUAAACCUCCCCUGUCUCAGUUUAAAACCAUUCCCCCUUGUCCUAUCACUGUCCACCCUCGUAAACAGCCGUUCCCCCUCCUGUUUAUACGAUCCAUUCAAGUACUGGAAGGCCACCAUGAGGUGUCCCUGCAGCCUUCUCUUCUCCAAGCUCCACCUCCCACUGCUGCUGGGAGGUUUGCUGGACUUCAUCCCCUGUGCUCUUGCCAAAAGAAGAAACAAUAAAUCCUCCUGCAUGUGAAAUGUUUCCAAAGCGUUUCUGAGUGUGACCCCCACUCCCUUCCCUCCUGUCCUUGCUUCCUCUCCAUCUCACCCAGCUCCACGCCUGCCUCGGGCUGCUCCACAACCAGCACUGGGACACGUUGGUCAGCAUCUUUGUCAGAGCUGUUGGAGCUGUGAGGCUCUUGGCGAUAGAGCAGACGUGGCAACUCAGCUCCAGCAGUAGCAGCUGCUCCAACUGCAGCAAUAAACUAUAAUUCUCUUGCAAUUCAGCUCCCAUCUGAGUCAGACGUUACGAACCCUUUACAACUGGUGUUGGAAUUCAUCAUAUCUCUACUUGAAUUACUUUCCAGGACUGGGCUCCACUCAUUUAACAUGAGCUAUCUCAUCUUGUCCAUCUCUGUCCUGGGGUUUAUUUUCCACAGCCACUUGCUGAGAAAAUUCAUUAACUCGGUGGUGUGCCUGAUGGAAUUGCUGGUUGUGGUGUGCCUGAUGACACUGCUGGUUGGAGGGAUGGAGAUUGGGAUGUAUUUCUCUCCCAGGCCUCCAGCUGCUGUACAAAGAGACGGUGGGACGUGGGCUUACCUUGGAGCAGUGACCUCGGCCUUGUUCCUUGGUGUCCCAGCAGUGUCCAGGAGCACUGGGCAGGUGGGCUGUCCCUCUCAGAAGGUGAUGGCUCAAUUUUGGGACCCCUCAAAGGCUGCGUGGAGACGGCAGCGUCCCAUGAGUGGAAGGAUGGGUGAGCACAUUGGGCUGUUGGGUCUCAUGCCACGUCAGCUGGUCUGUGUCCCAGCUGGGCAGAGCUGAUGGAAGCAGGACUGAGUGGUGUGCCUGAAGAGAUGUCCAACCAAUAGGCACUCUGUGUCACUUGGGCUCAAA
ensembl:lncRNA